rnacentral:rRNA from 1 species
UACGUAGGGGGCGAGCGUUGUCCGGAUUUAUUGGGCGUAAAGAGCUCGUAGGCGGUUUGGUAAGUCGGGUGUGAAAUCUCCACGCUCAACGUGGAGGGGCCACUCGAUACUGCCAUGACUCGAGUCCGGUAGAGGAGUGUGGAAUUCCCGGUGUAGCGGUGAAAUGCGCAGAUAUCGGGAGGAACACCGGUGGCGAAGGCGGUUCUCUGGGCCUUACCUGACGCUGAGGAGCGAAAGCGUGGGGAGCGAACAGG